rnacentral:lncRNA from 1 species
UGGGGAUAACAUUGUGAAACUUUGAUGUUUUGAUAAUUAAAUGCUUAAUUCUAUUUGUAAUUCUAUAAUAGACAUAGAAAAUUAAUUUAAGGUUAAAAUUUUAUUAACUAAGGAAUUAGAGAAAAAUAAUCUAGGAAAUCAGUAAUCAUAAAUCAUAGAAAUUGAUUGUAACAAAGUUAAUUUAGGGUAAAGGGGGAUCCAAGGUCAAGUUCAUCCCUAACAUAUUUCAUCAUAUUAAAUUCAAUAAUUUAAUUUAUUCCAUUACCAUCAUAUUCGACUACAAAGCUACACCAUGAAGGUUCUUGACAUUAGAAAACAAAAACAAAAUAAAAUUCAAAUUAUUAUGGUUCAUACAUGAUAAUUAAAUGACUACUCAUAGAAUAUUCUUUCUUUUAAAUGUGGAAGAAAACACAUAAUCAUGUGGGCAUAGAGAAUGGUCCACGUGCCGAUUUAACACAUCUACACUUGGUGAAUUGACAUAUCGGUUUCAAAGGAUACAAGCACGAAACCUUUGGACAAUCAUCAUUUUUAGAGCAUCUAAUUUCAGCUAUAAUGAAGAAGAAGAAAAAAAACACAAUAAUAUAACUAAAGUGAGAUGAAAUCAUAUGUAUGAAGUAAAGAAAGAAAUAUUAGAAAAAUAAAAGAUAAAAAGUUAGCUUACGGUCAAAAUUUGAUGCAUCAAGAAAUAAGGGCAAAAAGAUAACCAUAAUGCAUAAAAACUUGACAAUUCCUGCCAUAUUUCUCUCCCUUUGCAUGUAAAAAAUGGAUUUAUGAUUCUAUAGUUUAUAAAGCUUAUCUUCUUCUUGCAUCAAUUAAAUAAUAUUUAACAUUUAUGGAAUUGUAAAAAAAAAUAACACUAUCAAUAUGUCUUUUAGGUACAACAAUGUGUUGUAUUUGUCCCUUUAACAUUCUUGGAAUAUAUGUUAUAUAAAAAAAUUAAUUAUAAGAAUUAAUUAUUUCUUUAUUAAAUUUACAUGAUUUUAUAGCCUUUCAUGAUAAGAAAGGAAAAAAUACUAAAAGAUGAGUAAUGUUAUUAGACAACAAAUUUAUGCAUUGAUUGAGUGUAUUGGUUUAAAUUUAACUACUAAGCAUGGUUCAUUAGUUGUCACUAUUUCAUAUGACCGUAGGCUAAAAUUUAACUACUAAGCAUGGUUCAUUAGUUGUCAUUACUUCAUAUGACCCUAGGCUAUAGUUAUUCAAUAUUUUGGAUUUUAAGUUUAAUGAUAAUUCCUCUUGGAGGACAUAAAAAGUUCAUAAUUGGUAAGAUUGACAAAAAUACAUGUAGUAAUAAUUCAAAUGUAUAAAUCUUAUAAAAGAAGCUAAUCCCUAAGCCAAUUCAUUGGGUAAUUUUCCUAAAUUAUAAAAAAAAGUUAUUCACAUUUAGAUGAAUACAAUAUUGAAUUUUAGGUCAAACAUAUUAGUUGAAGGAAUGUUUUAUAAAAGUAGAAUAUAAUUAUAAUAAAACAAUAAAGUAUUUUUUUAAAACAAAAAUAAAAAUGGGUGUGAAUACUGGAUACCCAAAAUUUAAUUGAUGUUGUUGUUCGAAAAAUAAAUAAAAUAUAAUAAUAUAUAUAUAAUAUAUAUAUACUAUACAAUAUAUAUAUAAUAUAUAUAUAUAUAUAAUAUAUAUAUUAUAAUAAUAGUAUAUAAUAUUAUAUAGUAUAUAUAUAUAAUUUGAAUGUUAACAUCCUGAAGUUCAAUCUUACUAUCCUUAAAAAUAGUUAUUUCAAGAAAAAAAGUUAAAUGAUAUAAAUUAUUUUAGAUUAAUAUUAUUCAUAUUAUUUUAUAUAUUAUUCUCCACUUUGUUUGUUUUUAACCAUUAGGUAUUUGUAUCCGAAUUUAAUAGAAUAUCUGACUUAUGGAUUUUGGACAACCCUCAAAAUUGAGAACAUGGCGCAUAAGGAAUUCUAUUUAUAUACAAAAUGAAAUGUAGAUAUGAAAAAGAAAUUGUUAAUUAUUAUGUCGUUUAUGAGAUGAGUGCAGAUUAAAUAUUUGUGUUUUUCUUUAUAAUCAUUAAUAUGUGAUAUGCAAUUAUUAUCCAUAUUUUUGAAGCCCCGUAAAUCACUAGCGAUCCAAUAACCAUAUCCCUGAGGAGAUAUUGUAACAUGUUGUGUCAUUAGAUAAAGUGAUUGAUUUAAGAUAGAAGAGAUAUUAUAAGUAAUUAUAUCGUAGAGUUAUCGUGAUUUCGUAAUAAUAUUUUAAUUACUUUUGAUUAAUGUUAAAUUGUUUUCUUACUAAAGAGCAAUGAUGGGUUAUCACUUUAUAUGAUUAGGAAUAAGAACACAGUGCGUUAUUUUCUAAAAGGUAAAUAGUUUAAUGUGAGUAUUAUGUUAUGUCUUAUAAUAGAAUUAUUUUUAUGUGUAUAUAUUCACUGAUAUUAAUAUUUAUGUGAAGGUGAAGUUACAACUAUUAUCAUGAGUAAUUAUUAUGUUAUGAAACUAUGGUAUUGUAAGUCUCAUGUUUAAUCACAAUCAACUCAUGAUGAAGAUGAAACUAUGAUGAGAUGAAGAGUAGUGAGAGAUAUAAUUGCUAUCAUGAAUUGUGUAUUAAUCAACUCGACUUUUAUUUAUUUAUUUAUAUAUAUAUAUAAUAUAGAUAUAUAUAUAAUAAUAUAUAUUAUAUAAAUAAAAUCAUAUAUAUAUAUAUAUAUAUAUAUAUAAUAUAUAUAUAGUAUAAUUAUAUAUAUAUAAUAUAUAUAUAUUUAUAUAUAUAUAUAUAUUAUAUAUAAUAGUAUAUAUAUAAUAUUAAUAUAUAUAUCAUAUAUAAAUAAUAUAUAUAUAUAAUUAAUAUGAUAGCAUAGUAUAUAUAUAUAGUAUAGUAUAUUAUAUUCUUAUUACUAUUAUAAAAUAAUAAUAUAUAUAUAGAUAUAGACUAACUAUGUUAGUUACACUCAAAAUCUUGUGUAAUUAACUUUUAGAUAAUGUAUAAUUAACUAACCUACAAUAUCUAACAUUCAUAACUAACCUAAGACUAGAAUUCUAAUACCCUCCUAAAGCUCAUGGAGGUUUGAAAGAGACAAUUUUGAGCUUGCCAUUAAAGGUUGAAAAGAGAUUUGUAGGAAGUGAUUUUGUGAGGAUGUUGGCAAUUUGAACAUGCGUCGAUACAUGUUGUAUAUGCAGACAUUGUGAUACAACUCGUUCGUAAACAAAAUGGAUGUCAAACUCAAUAUGCUUCGUGCAUGCAAGGAAAAUAUGGUUAUGUGACAACAUUACAUCACUGAGGUUAUCACAUAGCAGUGUAGGUUGAAGGUUGUUGACUUUGAGUUCAUUGAGUAGUGAUUUAAUGCAUAAUAACUCUGAGGUGGUGUCGCAACCAGGGUUUUGGAGCAAGGAAACUGGACAUACUAGAGAAUCUCCUCCUCGAAAAGAGAAGGCAACAUCAGAAGAUUCGUCACCGAAUUUUAUUUGGUUUACCUCUAUCGAAGAGAAGAGGGAAAAUAGUCCAUAAAACCCUAAAAAAAAGAUGCACGCGGGAAGCGUGAUAAAAGUAAUAAGGAAUCGGUCUUGCAACCGAGACUUGAAUUCGAAAGUCAGUUACGCAAGGGGAAGGUAUUAGCACCCCCUCACGUCCAUGGUACUCCAUGAGAACCAUUUGGUUUGUUUAUGUAUGUGGGUAUUUAUCUCAUUUAUUGUUUUAUUUUCAAAAGGUGUCACUACAACAAACAAGACCUUAGACAGCGCUUUUUUUAGCCUUAGACAGCGCUUUAAAGCGCUGUCUAAACCUCCGCUGCUAAAGGUUUAGACAGCGCUUUUUUAAAUCUUAAAAGCGCUGUCAUUAACAUCGAUGAAGUUCAAUCUUACUUAUCCUUUAAAAAAUAGUUAUCAAGAAAAAAAAAGUUUAAAUGAAUAUAAAAUAUUUGUAGAUUUUAAUUAUUAUUCUAUAUUAUUUUAUUAAUAUUAUGUCUCACUUUGUUUGUUUUAACCUUUAGGUAUUUGUAUCGAAUUUAUAUAGAAAUAUCUGACUUGUAUGGAUUUUUGGACCCCUUCAAAAUUGAGAACAUGGCGCAAAGGAUAUUCGAUUUAUAUACAAAAUAAAUUGUAUGAUAUGAAAAGAAAUUGUUAAUUUAUUAGUGUCGUUUAUGAAUGAGUGAGUAUAAAUAAAUUUUUGUUUUUUCUUAUUUAACAUUUAAUAUUGUAUAUGCAAUUAUUAUUCUCAUAUUUAAGCCGUAAUCACUAGCGAUCAAUAACCAUACAUCCUGAGGAGAAUAUUGUAAUCAUGUUGUGUUCAUUAGAUAAAGUGAUUGAUUUCAAGAUAAAAGAUAUAAUUAUAAGGUAAGUUUAUGCUAGAGUUAUGUGAUUUCGUAAUAUAUAUUUUAAUACUUUUGAUUAAUGUUUAAAUUUUUUCUUACUAUAGAGCUAUGAUGGGUUAUCACUUUAUAUGGUAUUAGAAAUAAAAAGACAAGGUGGGUUAUUUCUAAAGUAAAUAGUUUUAAUUGUGAUAUUUAUUUAUGUCUAUAAUAUAAUUAUUUUUAUGUGUAUUAUUAUUCACUAUAUAAUAUUUAUGUGAAGGUGAAGUUACAACUAUUAUUCCAUGAGUAAUUAUUAUGUUAUGAAAAACUAUGGUUAUUGUAAGUCUCAAUGUUUGAUCACAAUAAUCUCAUGAUGAAGAUGAAACUAUGAUGAGGAUGAAGAGAUAGUGAGAGAUAUUAUUGCUAUCAUGAAUUGUGUUAUUAUCAUCAUACUCGAGCUUUUAUUUAUUUAUUUUUAUAUAUAGCGCUGUCUAAGGGGGGUCUUAGACAGCGCUUUUAGAAAGCGCUGUCUAAGACCCCCCCUUAGACCAGCGCUUUAGAAAGCGCUUUUUAAAUAUAAGACCUUAGCAGCGCUUUUGAGAAAGCGCUGUUUAAAGUCUUUCAAUUAAAAAAAAAAAUUAAAACCAAAAAGCGUUGUCUAAGGUGGGGUUUAGGAAAGCGCUUUUGGAAAGCGCUGUCUAAGGGCAUAUCUUAGAAAGCGCUUUCCACAAAAGCGCUGUCUAAGGUCUAAUUAAAAUUAAAUUUCAGACUUCUAUUGUUUUCGUCUCUCAGUUCUUUUGUUUUUUCCCUCCUGCGAUUAAACCCCUCCAGCGAACCCUAACAGCGAAGAGAAUACAUUGUAAUCAUUCGGUUUCAAUAGCACGAGAAAGUUUUUGAAGAAUCGGUUUUCAGAACGUCAAUUCUACUGCGGUAUGUUCUUCAUUUCUGCAUUUUUCAUUUCUGAUUCAGUUCGUCAUUUCUACUCGCUUUUGUUCGUCAUUUUCUUAACAUUUUCAUUCAAUUGGUUUCAAGGCAUUGCAAGUGUUUUUGGACAAUGUUAGGGAUAAUCGCUGAUGGGUUUAGUGUGUGGUAUGUUAUAUAAAUAUACUUUCUCUCUUGAUAUAAUUAUAUUGAUACUUUUGGUUUUUUUCCCGAUUUUAUCUAAUCUGUGAUACCUAUUGAAUUUCACCCUCAAUCAUGUAUUUGGUGUUGGUUUCUGUUUACUGACUAACCAUUUUAUUUGAUAUUUCAAAUAUUGAAAGGUUUUAAUUGUUGAUUCUGGUCUGGGUAUAUAGUCAGCUUAUGAAGUUUUAGUUCAAAGUUUUUGAAAAUAUAUAGAGCAUGAUUUUUGUUUUUUCGAGGAGCAAGAGGUGAUAUAUAGAAAAUGGGUUCCAGGAUUUAUGCCUGCGAGGCGUGCAUUGGUAUGUACUGCCUGCAUCAAUUAUUAUUUGCAUAAUGUGUUUUAUUAUACCUACAAAAUUUGAUGCUUUAUUUGUUUUCUUGAUUUAUGUUUAAAGAUAAAGUGUUGUUUUGUACUGAUUCACAAUCUUUUCUUCAGCGUGUUCAUGCAGCACGUCCUAGUAAUUCCAACUCACUCACUUUUCUCGUAACAGGUAGUUUUUCAAAUUAAGUUCUUUUCUUUAUAUUUGUUGUGUAGAUAAUUUGCAUUUUUAUAUUUUCUCCAAUGUUCCAUUCAACAACUUAAUCCGUAUAUAUUUCAGUUCUCUCUGUUAUUCAGAUACUGAACUCCACCAGAUGUCACCAAAAUUUUCUGGUAAGGUCUUAUGUAUCUAAACAAAGCAUUAAAUUUUCAUCUAGAAAAAAUAUGAAACUGUUUUGAAAAGAAAUGUAUUGAGAGUAAUCUGUAGGAACUCGGGAGGCGUCUUUUGUUUCAAAGGUCCUGGAUAUGUACUGCUCAAAGACAUCUUUAAAACCACCUUCGUGAAGUCAUUGAUAAUACACAAAUAUAGCUAACCUAACAGAACCUAUAAUUUGUGAUUGAAUUACAAAUUGAGAGAAAGCGGGGAUAUCUAUUAAAACACUAUACACAUCAAUGAUGGAAGUUAUAGUUAUACUAUAGAAUGCUGUAUUCAUUGCCUGUUAGAUGCAAUCAUAGUAUCCAUUCUUAUGUGAAUGGAAUCAAAACAAGAGAUACUAUUUCCUGGAAAUAUGGGACAAUGGAAGUUUAAUCCUAAGGAACACUUAUGAAGCCUCCCUAAGGAUUUAAUUGAUUUAUUUUCCUUUUUUAUCAUGCAGAAGAAAGAAAAACUUAAAUUUUGAAAACCAUCAACAAACAAAAUGAACUUUGCGCUUUUACUUUCAUGGAUCAUGAUAGAUUUCGUUAGGAUAACUAAGGAAAAAUCAAAAAGAAAUUUAACAUUGAAUCCAUUUUUAUUGACCAAUUAGAAUUGCUCCCCGGAUCUAUAAUUUGUCUAAAAAGUCCAAUAUACAUACAGUAUUGGAACUUUUGAAAAAGAGUCAAGAAGACCUUAUGAAAAUUGAACAUUUUCGAGUAGAAGCUUUUAAAAUUUAUAUUAAACAUUUUUACAAAUCGAAAAUCAUUUUGUAUAAAUUUUAAUACAUUGGCUUUUUUUGAAUUCUUUAAGCACAAAUAAAUCUAUUCAGAAUAGGUCUCAAAAUGAAAUAGAUGUAUCUAGGGAUUAGUCAUUCAAAGUGAUUCCCANNNNNNNNNNNNNNNNNNNNNNNNNAAUGUUCAUCUAAUUCACUUAAUAUAUGCCAAGAAGUCAAAUCAUGUAUUUGUGUGCGUUGACACUCUCUUCUGAAUUCGCGGAGUGUUGGUCACGUAGAUUUUACCAAGACGUGCGACAAAUCACGUGCGCUUUGCGCCACACACACUUAAAAGCCAAUAGCACUUUGAACUUAAUAAGAAAGACGAUCUAAGCUUUUAUUGUCAGUUUAAUUCAUUUCUGUUAUAAAAUCUUUUAAUUUGAAAAAAGUGUAGUUGAAAUCCUUAAAGAAUUUGUAGCAAAAAAAAAAAAAAACAGUUGAAAAUGGUAUGUGCAAGAUAUUGAUUUUUGGUUAGCAUUGCCUUUGUUUUGAAAGUAUUGUUUUCUUUUGGAUGUUCCUCACGAGCUUGACAGUUGUAUUCAUGAGAAAAUAGGCAUCUUUGAUGUGUUGAAAUGUUAUUGUGGAUAUAUCUCCAGUUUUUAAAUUUAUAACUGAUUUAGUAGUUAGGUAUGUUGAAAACCUUUUAUAUCUCUCCCCCACCCCAAAGCUUCAAAAAUUUUUAUACCUUUAGACAGUACAAAAGCGCUUUUGUCCUAAAGGGGAUUAGAAAGCGCUUUAGGCAUAAAAGCGUUGUCUAAGGGUCGGGGGGGGGGCUUAGACAACGCUUUUGAAAGCGUUCUGUCUAAAGCGUUAUACCUUUAAAAAAAUUAAAAUAGGAGGGUCUUAGAAACGCUUUUGGCCAAAGCGCUGUCUAAGGGGUGGGGCCUUUAGACAGGUUUUCAAAGCGCUUUGGUCUAAGCGUAUACCUAAAAAAAUUUAAAAUAAGAGGGUCUUAUAUAAAGCGCUUUGGCCAAAGCUGGCUUUCUAAGGGUUUGGGGAUUGUGGUUUAGACAGGCGGCUUAGAUUUGUAAAAAUACCGCGCUGCUCUAAAACCUUUAGCAGGCAGAGGUGUUUAGACAAGCGCUUUAAGCUGCUGUCUAAGGCUAAAAAAUAAGCGCUGCUUCUCUAAUGGUCUUGUUUGUUGUUAGUUGACACAUUUUGAAAUAAACAUAUAAUGAGAUAAUUAUACCACAUACCAUAAACAUAACCAAAUGUCUCAUGGUUUUUUAGUACGAUGGACGUGAUGGUGGGUGCUAAUACCUUCCCUUGCGCUUAAAUUGAAGCUUUCGGAAUUCCAAGUCUCGGUUGCAAGACGUUCAUUCCUUAUUUACUUUAUCAGCGCUUUCCCGCGGUUGCUAUCCGUUUUUUUUAAGUGUUUUAUGGUACUAUUUCUUUACUCUUCUCUUCGAUUAGAGGUAUAACCAAAUAAAAAUAUUCUUUUCUGUUGGGACGAAUCUUUCUGAUGUGUGCGCCUUCCUUUUUCGAGGAGGAGAUUUCUUUUAUAAUGUCGCAGUUUCCUUGCUCCAAAACCCUGGUUGCGAACCACCACCGUCAGAGUUAUUAGUUCAUGUAAAUUCUACUAUUUCAUCAAUGAACUCAUAAGUCAAACAACUUACCUUAACCUACACUGCUUAGUGUGAUAACCUCAGUUGAUGUAAUUGUGUCACAUAACCAUUUCUUGCAUCACCGAAGUCAUAUUAGUUUGCACAUCCAUUUUGUUUACCGAUACGAGUUGUUAUACAAUGUCUGCAUUUAAUACAAACAUGUAUGCGACGCAUGUUCAUAAAUUGCCAACAUGCCUCACAAAAUCACUUCCUACAAAUUCUUUUCAACCUUUAAUGGCAAGCUCAAAUCUGUCUCUUUCAAACCUCCAUAUGAGCUUUAGGAGGGGUAUUAGAUUCUAGUCUUAGGUAUUAUGAAUGUAGAUAUUGUAGGUAGUUAAUUAUAACAUUAUCUAAAGUUAAUUACACAGUUUUAAGAUUUGAGUGCUAACUAACAUAUCGUUAUGUAUAAUAAUUUAUAAUUUUUUUAUAGUGUAUAUUAUAUAUAUAUAAUAUUAUAUAUUAUUAUUAUAUAUACUAUUAUUUUUAUAUAUUAUUAUAUAUUAUAUAUAUAUAGUAUUAUAAUUAUAAUAUUAAUAUUAUAUUAAUAUAUAUAUAAUAUUUAUAAUAUAUUAAUAUAUAGUGUAAAUAUAUUACUAUAAAAAUAUAUAUAUAUAUAUUAUAUAUAAUAUAUUUUAUAUAUAUAUAAUUAUUAUUUAUAUAGUUAUAUUAUAUUAUUAUAUAUAUAUAUAUUAUAUAUAUUCCUAUAAGCGCUUUCAUUAUUUUUUUAGAACAUUUUCCGUGUUUUAUUUUUAUCUUAACCUUAGACAGCGCUUUCUUUUAAAAGCGCUGUCUAAGAUGCGCUGUUAAAAAACCUUUUUGGCGUAGUGUGUGUAAAAAGAGUGACAGGACUCUGGGUUUUUCUAUUAUUAUGCUCGCCAAGGAUUGUGGCCCUUCUGCCUACGUAUCACUCAUUGGGGGAUGAGGAAUUAGAUCUCCAUAGUUCGAAUCAGAAAAUGUUUAUGUGUUGGUUAAUUUUACCUUUGAGAAAAGGGUUUUCGGUGUGGUUCCCUAAGGCGCAAAAAUAAGGUUUGAUGGAUUGUGUUGAUUUUACCUUGAAUAAGGGGUUUAUGAAGUAAGUUUGUGAUUAGAUUUCACUAAAGUCUACGAGCGGAGGUGAAAAUUAUAGACAACAAGCCAAGCGUCUUGCGUCCAAAAUAAUCAGAGUAAGGGUAGGAAUAUUACAUUCUUACUCAUUCUCUACCACUUAAGGCUCGUGGCGCACAAUGCUAAUCGUAGUUUUAGUUUGAAUAUGAAAAUGCCACUUGACGUUGGAUCAAGGGUUUGUUUAUUUGAUUAUGAAAUUGGGUAAUGUAACAUGUAUGCAAAGUAACCAACAAGAAAAUAAAGGAUCUCAUUGUAAGGUAGCCCAAGAGAAAGCCUUGUGUGUGCAAAAGUGACACAAGAUAAAAAAAGGAUAAUGGUCUUACAAAUAUGUCCCUCUAGGGUGGUGCCAUGAUUCCAUUCUUACAACUGGUAUGAAAGUCACAGAUUAAAUCCAAAGUUAACAGAGUUUCACAAAGUAAUGGGAAAAUCCUCCAAGCAAAGGUCCUAGGAUGAGAUCCUAUAACUCCAAGUUGAUUAAGUGGAAUGAAUCUUUUUUUGUCUUAUCAUUUUAUCAUGUUUUUGUUGUUUUUAAUGUAUGAUGACAAUAAAGAUAAAUGAAAAUAAUAAAUAUGAAUGAUGAGUUUAUACAAUGAUGAUGAUGAGUACUUGAAUGUAAAUUAAAAUGUAAUAACAUAAAAGUAAAUAGUAAAGUAAAAAUCAUAAUAACAAUAAAAAUGUGUGGUAAUCAAAUUUAGUAAAGUUAGGUUAAGCCGGUAUUAUGAACAAUGGACCAAUACUUGAGGAUUAUCUAUCCUUAUGUCAAUCGAUUCAAAAUAUGGCGCAUCAGGGGAUAACUUAUCAUUGAUGCAAAAUAUUGAAGAUGAUCAAAGAAGCAAGUUACAAUAGAUUUGUAUCAAUGAAAGUUGUACAACCCCAUGUCCAUCUAUCAAUAGAUUGACAAAUGCUAGACUAUACAAACUCAAGGUUGAAAGUUAAUGUUUUGAUUAAGUUAUUAGGUUAAACAAGGUAUAAGAUUAAUGUAUAAUAUGGAUAAGGUAGUAAAGGCUUAGUGUACAAUAUAGACAAGUACGUAUAAGAGGUUAUUGAGUUAGUAUAAGCAAAAGAAAUGACAUGUAUCAGAUGAAAUCAUACGUUAACAUAUGUAUAAGCAAGACUUCAUCUAUAUGUCAAAUGACCCAAGUUGGUUGAUAUAUGGGAAAGCUAUAUGCUUCAAAGUACCAUGGAUUAACACUUGAUCAUACAUUAGUAGGUUUGUGUAAGACCCCAAUUUUGACCCUAGGAUCCCUCAUGCAAUUUCAUCAUAAGCAUUAGCAUUGGGAUCAUACCUUGACAUCCUCCUUACCCCUCUUUCAUUGCGUUUGUUUGGGGAGAGAUCACCAAGCACUAUGUGAUUGUAUCAUACUUAUAUAUUAUCAUUUUUACUAACCAAAAUACCAAAAAUAUGUCUUUGCAUUUGCCUAACUCUUUUGUAGGUAGGGCAUGAUUCCCAUUGAUCUAUCAAGUUCAUAUCUAGGGUUUGAGACCCUCAUGACAAAUAGCACAACCAUGAAUUGAUCCAAGAAUAGUUAUUAGCAUCAUAUAUGAGUUCCAUUGAUUCCUACAUGUUAUAUUGAUCAAAUUUUCUUCAAGAGUUUGGAGGUGAUUUGCCUUGGAAACCCUAGUUUGACUAGGUAUCUUGAGUAACUUCUCCAACAAGAUAUCUCACCAAUUGAUCAAAUUUAUCAAUGUACACUUCAAAAUUCAUCAUCUUAUGCAUAUAUGAUCUACCAUGAGCCAAGAAAGUCAAAGGAAUUUAAGGUUAGCAAGUUGGUUGAUGGUGGUUGGCCAGAUGAAAUCAUCUGAUCAAAACUGGAUCUCCCUAGACCCUAUCUCCUACAAUUUGCAUCAUAUGAAAAUGAUUCCAAGUGAAAAGUUACUCUAAAUGACAUUACAAACAACUUUCAUGUUGAGACCUAGAGCUAGUUUUGCUUGAAAAAUCAUUUUCUAUAUUGAAACAUUAUAGGUCAUUUUGCCUAAACCUUAAUUUGAAAUUCAACUUCCCAAGGCCAUAACUUUUAUGUUUCCAAGUUGCAAAAUCAAAUUCAAGACGUAUACUCCAACGUUUAUGUUUUUAGUGAUAGAUAAUUCAACUUUUAUGAGCAUUUGAUAUGAGGUUACAUUAUAGGUCAUUUUUUACCUAUACCAUUGAACAAGUGAUUUUUCCAAACUUAAAAAAUGCAUAACUCUAUUAUUCCAAAUCCAAAUGACAUGAAAUUGGUGACCAUUUUGUAAGUCUUUGAAAGAGAUACAACUUUGAUGAAGACACGUUUCUCAUUUGAAGCUCAUAUAAAAAGUUAAGUAAGGUGAAAUAUUGAGAUAUAUGGCUUGACACUUAGAAAUUUUUUCAACAUGUUGAAAUUUCCAAACUUCCACCUCAAAAUUCUCCAUGUUCCAAGCUCCAAAUGAAAAAGUGUUGAACAUCAAACUUGCUCCCCUUGAUCCAAGAUUUCCAAAGAACCCAAAUUCAUGUAUUUUGGAUGAGGUUUGCUAGAUAUGCGCAUGGCUUUAACAGGACUGCAUCAUUGGAAAGAAUCAAUAGCAUAAACUUCAGUUCACUUUGCCUUGCCAAUCAAGGUUCCAUUCAGACUUCAAUUGGAAUCAUUUUGGACCUUUUUGUAUUGCAUCAUGGACCUGUACAUGCCCAUGCACUCGUGCCAUCAACAUUGCUAAUUUUGGACAGAUUUUUAAAGUGUGCAAAUAUCAUUCAUUCAUGCUAUAAAUAUAUGACCUUUGUGCUCAUUUAAAUCACACUUUGCGCGUUAGCUUUGCCCCCCAUUGAAACCCUCUCAUUCUAAAGGAAAACAUGAGAAAUUUCAAUUUAAAAAUUUGAGUUUGAAUCUCAACUGUUGGAGAUUCAAGAACUCCAGGAUCCAAAGCCUUGCAACCUCUCUAAUCACUUCCUGUUAGCUUCUCAAGUGUGAUCAGAUCGUGUUUAGAGCAAGCAACAUCAAGAACUGCAUAGCAUUGAAGGUAAUUUUCAGAAAACUUCAUCUCUUCGAUUCUCACUCAAUUCUACUCAUUUCUCUUGGAUCUUUGGCUGUCUGAAGUCCUACCAAUGUAGGCAAGAAGAUUGAGUUGCUUAGAGGUCAAAUCGAAGCAACUCAGUUGACACACCUCAAAAUUCAACUCCUCAUAUCUUUCUAUAUAUGUGGAGUUAGUUAAAAUUGAGGUCAGGUUCGUGCUCUACGCCAUUUUUUAUUUCAGAUCAUGUCCUCCUUUUUCAUUUAUGUAAUGGUGAUGACUGAACCAGUCCGGUGAGCCUCGCCUGAGAAGGUGACCGGAGGUCCAGCGCCGGUGGUGUGCUGGACAAGUUCUGAGCCACAUGAUCAUUUCAAAAUGUUUUAAUCUCACGCGUCCAUUGUGAUUACCAUCCCUGCAGCGCGCUGACUCGUGUGUUUGGUGGAACGCGUGUUUUAGGCCACUUGAUCUGCCACCUCAAUUAAUGAGGGAGAUCAAGUGGNNNNNNNNNNNNNNNNNNNNNNNNNNNNNNNNNNNNNNNNNNNNNNNNNNNNNNNNNNNNNNNNNNNNNNNNNNNNNNNNNNNNNNNNNNNNNNNNNNNNNNNNNNNNNNNNNNNNUUUUGAAUUAAAAUUAUUUUUUGGAUCAUUAUUAAUAUUUUUCAUGAUUUAAUUGAUUUUGUGAUUAUUUUUAAUUGUUUAAAAAUACUUUUAAGUCUUUAAAAAUUCUUAAAAAAAUUCUCCAAGGUCCUUUGAUCUUGUUUGACCUAUAAUAAAUCUCAUGGCCAUUUCUUUGAUAUUUUGAUAAGGUUUUAGGAAUUUGACAAGCCAUAUUUAAUUUAAAUGCCUUAUUUUAGUAUAUUUUAAUUUGAAUAAAUGCCAAUUAAUUGUGUUGACCAAUUGUAAUGACUUGUUUGAGUUUGACUCUUGUUGUUGGGUCUUGGUCAAGGUUGAUUUGACUUUGUCAAGUUAAUAUCAUUGGAUUUAGGGGAUUGAUGGAAUGUACAUUCCAUCUCCCAAAAUGAAUGAUAUUAAUUUGGUAAAAGUCCUCCUUUGACCAAUUUUAGUUUUGAUCCAUUCCCCUCCCUCUUCAUCUCAUUCCCCUUCUUGAUGCAUCCAUUUUAUUUGGCCUAUGAUAUCUCAAAGUCCUAAGGCUAGUUGAUUGAUAAAUCAACAUGAGUAUGGAUGAGAUUAGGCCACCUCUUUUGCAUAUUCUUUUUGUGUGUGGUAUGUUUCAUGAGCAUAGUCCAUUAUACUAUGUCACAAACAUGCAUUAACACCAAAAUUCUAUUGCCCGACCUCAAAUAGUUGUGACUUCUAGAUAAGUCCAAUUACGAUUGCUUAACAUAGCGCUAAAUUUGUGACAUAAAAAAAGCAUAGCAUUCUAGUUAGUGAGAUUGUAAGUCUCCCCUCUUUCAUGGUAUUGUGUGGAAACUUGGCCUUUUUUCCUUCCUUUGGAUCUACAGAACCGAGUUCCUAGGUACGAACACUAUUCUGGGUUGAGUGUUCUCCAAAGAAUGACUUAAAAAUGAAAAGCAAAAGCAAAACAAUACUAACUUCUAACUCAUUAACAACUAACUUUAAAUUUCAAGCCAUUUACUUUAAUGUCAUUUAAUUUUAGUCAUUAUUCAUUUGCCAUUAUUCAUACCAUUCUAAUUGUUUAUGUUAAUGCAAUUUUCACUUUGUCUACUUGGACCAUAUUGUGUGAUAUAUCUUGUUUGUGUAUACUUUGCUUGAUUGUGUGGUCUUUGACCAUUAAUGUACAUAAUAACAACAAAAACCCUAAAAAACUUUUGUGUGGACUGUUGGCUUGAUCUUGGACAAAUGAACUUAGAACUUAGGCAAAAUUCCUAUGCUAAAGGACUUGGCUAAUUCCAACUUUUUGUUUAACCAAGUGCUUGCAAUUUGGAACUUCAUCUGAUACAUCAUUCACGAUCCUUUUGAGUUCAUCUGCCACAUGAUCAUUGUGAAGCUGUUAUUUUGAACCUAUGACUUGUGGAAUUCAUCUGUUGCAUGGGUUAAUUUGAAGAAGAUCAUGGAGUGGCUAUGUUUAUUUGGUGCCUUGCUCUUCAAGAUAAUAUAAUUGUGCAUUUGAGUGUUGUUUGAUUAUAAAUGUCCAAGGGAAUAUGGGUUUCUAUUGACAUUCUUGUCUAUUGGAUUGCUACCCAUUGGUCAGAUCUUUUCAACUCUUAACUUUUAAUUGUGUGCAUAGGAUUAGUCUCUUCAUCUUUUCCCCAUUUCUUUAAUUUCAAAAUCUCUCCCUCCCUUUUCAAAAUCUUCUUUGAUUGAACUUAUUUUGUUCUAAACUUUGACCACUUUGUAAAAAUAUAGAAAAUUUGGCCUUAUGCCAUUGCAUUUUCAAACUUCUUUUCUUAAAUCAAAUUUGUAAAUAAACUUAACUAUACUUGACCUAAACUUUCAAAAAAGACAAAAAGAAACUAACUCAGUCAAAUCAUUUUUAGGCCUCUGUAUAUUUCAAACUUAACUUUUGUUAAAAGUAAUGCAUCCACUUUUAAAUUUCUAUCACAAACUACGAGGUUUUGAUCCCUCAUUUUAUAUUGGUACGUAGGCACAAGUCUGAAGGUCUUGUCAAACACAAAAAUAUAGUUAAUGAAUUAUUUUCUCAUCCCCCCAUUCUAUUUGUUUGUGAACAUCAUUUUUGUACCAAAUACAUAUGCACACAAAAAGGGCUCCCUAGGAGUACCUACCUGUGAAACCCACGAUUGUGGAAGGGUCUGUGUAACCAACCCCCUUACCUAUAAUCUCUGACAUUUUAUUAGUUUUGAUUUGAAAACUUCUUACUUCUGGGUUUUGUUCGUACUUUUUCCCUUUUCACUUGGAAACAAUAAAAGCGCGGUGGUGACUCUUGUUAUUUGAUGUCUAGCUUAUCCAUAGCUUGAUGAUCAUGAAUUUACCGCUACAGAAAUUAAGUGAUGACUCUGCUAGGGAGUAGUCUCCAGUGGGUUUUGCCUACUUUUUGUGUGUAUAUAUUUGUAUAUAUGUGAUGUAUGUAUAUAUGUAUGUGUGAUAUAAUCUGCUUGUUGGGCUUGGUGAUUUUUGAGUGGUGAGAUAAGUUCUAACCCGAACUUGAGUUCCAUUAAGAUAGGAGGAUGGUAUAGUCAUGUUCGACUUGUGUGGAGUAGUCCUUAACAAGUUGGCUUGAGAUCCAUCUGCUCAGUGGAGACCCUUUUGGAUUUGGAAAUGUCACACAAGUAUUUGUGAUUAGACAUUACUAUCUCUAAUUUGGGUCCGAGAAGCUGAGGACCGUAGAACAUUAACCCCUCUUAGCCUAUUUAGGACGUAAUACGGAGACUGUUCAAGUGUAGACUUGAUAACAGUUGUUACGCGAUACUACACUCAGACGAGUUUCUCUUAAGAAUAUUAUGGGUCGAUGAGUCAGUCAUCUUAACCAGUAAUAUCCGAUAGAUAGAAUUAAGAAUCUGGGAACUUUUUAGAGCAUGAUCUACAGGUUUUUAUCCUUAGUUCACUCCUUUGGGAUGGUUCUUACCUAGACUCCAUGCUCGUGAUUUACAACAAACCCUUGAUUCUUGGUUGAUCCAAUCAAGUCUUGUCAAUAUCAAAGGAACUUGGGUGUUGAUAAUGUGUAAACCAUAAUCCACCAAAAUGGAUGAUUGAUCUUGACAAUGACUUGAUUCAUCCCUUGAACUUUGUUUUCCUUGUGUGUGAUCCUUUAUUUGUGAUUGUUGCAUUCAUGCGCAUCAUAACAUUCAUCACACAAAAUUUUGAGGAACUGAGGUAUCAUUUGCAAAUAUUUUCAGACCAUGGAUUAUGGACGAAGGAACACUAAGAAGUACAGUUUCAGAUGUCCCAACUUGAAAGAGUUAAGGAAGCUAGCAUAUUUUGUAUUAGAUCCCUUAGACUUCAAACAGCGCCAUGGGAAGCUUUUGUCCAUCUUGUCUGCCAAUGUGGUUGAAGGACUUUUGAGUGUAUUGGUGAAGUUCUAUGAUCCUCUUUACCGUUGUUUCACUUUCCUAGAUUUUCAGCUUGUGCCUACCUUGGAGGAGUAUUCUCAUCUUUUGGGGAUACCUGUUUCUAGUAGAGUGCCUUUUAGUGGAUUGGAGGAGAUUCCCCGAUCUAGUCUUAUUGCUAAAGUUCUUCACUUGAAGAAGUUUGAGAUAAAGGCUCAUUGGGUGAAAAAAGGAGGGUUGUUUGGGUUGCCAUCUGAUUUCCUCUUCAAGGAAGCUACUGCUUUUGCUCAAGCUAGUAGUGUGGAUGCUUUUGAAGCUAUAUUUGUGUUGCUCAUAUAUGGAUUAGCUUUGUUCCCUAACAUUGACGGUUUUGUUGAUGUUAACGCCAUUAGACUUUUCUUGAUUGGGAAUCAUGUGCCUACUUUGUUGGGUGAUAUGUAUUUCACUCUUUGCAUCUAAGGAAUUCUAAGGGUGGUGGAAGCUAUUGUCUCAUGCAUUUCUCUCUCUGUACAAGUGGAUUUAUUUUGCACUUGCCUCAGACCACCUACAUUUGUGGAGAACAAACAAAUGUCUAAGGUUUGUCUAGAGACUUAUGUCUCUCACUAAUGAUGAUAUAGUUUGGUAUGAUCCGUCUUUAAGCAGUUUGAGAUUAUAUAAUAGUUGUUGGUGAAUUCUCUAAUGUGCCUCUCAUAGUACACAAGGAGGAAUUAACUACAAACCUGCUUUGGCUUGUCGUCAACUUGGGUUCCCCUUGAGAGACACACCUAAUAACACUUUGUUAGAAGGUCUUUUCUAUCAAGAGGGUUAAAAGAUCCCUAACAUUUGAAGUAGAAGAUUGUGCAUGCUUGGCAUAAUGUGCAUAGGAAAGGAAGAUCCGAGCUUGGUCCGUGCAAUUGUGUAGCUUUGGAAGCUUACACUCUUUGGGUGAAGAAGAGAGCUUUAGAAUUAAAGAUGCCUUAUCCUUGUGAAAGACUUAUGUCUAUGGUUGUGGUUGAGUCAUCAACUCUCCCUAACCAAGAUAUAGAGGAGUUGAAAGAUGCGCUCGUCAAGAUGAAGUAAGAGAAGGAUAUGUGGGAAGAGCGUUUUCGUGCUUUGAGUAAGAAGCAUGAAGAGUUGCAGUUGGAGUCUAAGGACAAAGAUGCACUUAUUGAGCUACUUGAAGACCGAGUGACGAAGAGACAGAGAGAGCCAGAGGUUUCAUCUUCUAGCAUGCCUCAACCUUCCGUUUCUUGGAAGAAGAUUGUUGAUCAGCUUGUCCUCGAGAAGACUCAGAUGAAGGCUUCUUUUGAGACCGAGAUUCGACGCAUUCGAAGGAAGUACGCACCUUCAGCCAGAUCUUCUGACUUUGUUAGGGAUCCUUAGGAUGACUAGUCUCCUUUUCUCUUAUAUUUUUCAUUUGGUUUCUGAAAUUGUACUCAGUGUGAUCCUUCCAAUGAUAUAAAUAAAAAGGGAUUUUUGGUCAUAUAAAAAUUAUCGCAAAUGAUUGAUAUAUAUAUUUGCAAAUGAUAUAGUAAGUUCCUUGAAAAUAAAAAUAAAUAAACAAGCAUUGCAUUUCAUGCAUCAUUUGCAUAAGUAGGUUUCUCUUUCGCUAGAUGUCUCAUUGGUGUUUCUUCUGUGCUUUAGCCAAGCUGACUCAUCGGUACAACACCCGCGCCAAUCACUUCAAAAUUAUGGAGCAUCUAGAGAAAGAGAACAGAGAUCUGAAGGAUGAGAUCCCCCGCCUGACUGCCAUGAUGGAGUCAGUUCUUGCUGCUCAGAGUCAAUCUUCUCCAACACCUGCAACUCCUCCGCCUCAGAGGACGGUUAUUUCAGAGGUGGCUACCUCUACCAUGCCUGCUGCUACCGCUCAUUUUGCACCCAUUAUGCCUGCCGGAUUCCCGUGGGGAAUGCCAUCCAACUUUAUGCCUACUUUUGCUUCCAUGCCGGCAUCUAGCCCAGUCAUGUCUGUGCCACCUCCCGUUGUGCACACCUUACCUCGUGUAGAGGACACCAUUUAUCACUCCGAGCCAUCUGAGGAUCCAGAUGUUUACGAGAAAAUGGAUGAAAUGAAAGAUCAGUUUCUUGAGCUGCGCAAGGAAUUGAAGAUGCUAAGGGGUAAGGAUUUGUUUGGAAAAAGUGCUGAUGAGUUGUGUUUAGUGCCCAACGUCAAGAUCCCAGUGAAGUUCAAAGUGCCUGACUUUGAAAAGUAUAAAGGGAACACUUUUCCGCUCAGUCAUCUAGUGAUGUAUGCUCGCAAGAUGUCUACUCAGACCGACAAUGAUCAACUGUUGAUUCAUUAUUUCCAGGACAGUUUGACCGGUGCUGCACUCCGUUGGUAUAUGGGAUUAGACAGUGCAAGCGUUCGUACUUUCAAUGACUUGGGGGAGGAUUUUGUCAAGCAGUAUAAGUACAACAUGGAUAUGGCGCCAGAUAGAGACCAACUGAGGUCUAUGUCUCAGAAGGAUAAGGAGACGUUUAAAGAGUAUGCACAUAGAUGGAUGGAAUUGGCUGCCCAAAUCACUCCUCCUUUGGAGGAAAAAGAGAUGACAAAGAUCUUUAUGAAAACUCUGAGUUCAUUUUAUUAUGAACGAAUGAUUGCUAGUGCCCCCAAUGACUUUACUGAAAUGGUAAACAUGGGGAUGAGGCUCGAGGAAGGAGUCCGAGAGGGACGUUUGUCAAAAGAUGAAGCAUCGUCGAGUAAGAGGUAUGGUAGAAAUUUUGGGAAGAAAAAAGACAAUGAAGCGAAUGCAAUAAGCAGUGGGAGGCAGAGGAGGCCUCAGAUCAGAAGGAAUCAACCAUCCCAUCAACAUCAUCAUCAAGUAUCUUCAGUUAUCCCUAUGUUUUCUAAUCAACAAUCAACACCAGUUCAACAACCACAACAUCAACAACAAUAACCGCAACAACGAACAAACACCUACAACAACAACAA